rnacentral:rRNA from 1 species
CUAUGCGCCUUGCCAGCCCGCUCAGUCAGAGUUUGAUCCUGGCUCAGGAUGAACGCUGGCGGCGUGCCUAAUACAUGCAAGUCGAGCGAACAGAUAAGGAGCUUGCUCCUUUGACGUUAGCGGCGGACGGGUGAGUAACACGUGGGUAACCUACCUAUAAGACUGGAAUAACUCCGGGAAACCGGGGCUAAUGCCGGAUAAUAUUUAGAACCGCAUGGUUCUAAAGUGAAAGAUGGUUUUGCUAUCACUUAUAGAUGGACCCGCGCCGUAUUAGCUAGUUGGUGGGGUAAUGGCUUACCAAGGCAACGAUACGUAGCUGACCUGAGAGGGUGAUCGGCCACACUGGAACUGAGACACGGUCCAG